rnacentral:lncRNA from 1 species
AUUGAAAACAGUCAUAAUGAUUUAUAAGCUAUUAUAUACUAUAUCAUUCUUGUGUGGCUGGACUUUCAUUGAUGUUGGAUGUACAUAAUUAUAUUGAUUAUUUGAGUCUUUUGGAAACUGUUUAUGAUUUCAUGAAAUGUGCAUCGAUUUGUCAUGGUUCUCAAAUUCAUAUUAUUAUUGUGUUGGUAUGGAUGUGUAG